GACAGAGGGUGCAAACGUUGUUCGGAAUUACUGGGCGUAAAGCGUGUGUAGGCGGCCGCGUAAGUCGGAUGUGAAAGCCCUGGGCCUCAACCCAGGAAGUGCACUCGAAUACUGCGUGGCUUGAGUACUGGGAGAGGUUGGGUGGAAUUCUCGGUGUAGAGGUGAAAUUCGUAGAUAUCGAGAGGAACACCCGGUGGCGAAGGCGGCCAACGUGGACAGAUACUGACGUGAGACACGAAAAGCCGUGGGGGAGCAAACAGG
rnacentral:rRNA from 1 species